rnacentral:rRNA from 1 species
UACGAAGGGGGCUAGCGUUGCGCGGAAUCACUGGGCGUAAAGCGCACGUAGGCGGGUUGUUAAGUCGGGGGUGAAAUCCUGGAGCUCAACUCCAGAACUGCCUUCGAUACUGGCGACCUUGAGUCCGGGAGAGGUGAGUGGAACUCCGAGUGUAGAGGUGAAAUUCGUAGAUAUUCGGAAGAACACCAGUGGCGAAGGCGGCUCACUGGCCCGGUACUGACGCUGAGGUGCGAAAGCGUGGGGAGCAAACAGG